GACGAACGCUGGCGGCGUGCUUAACACAUGCAAGUCGAACGGAAAGGCCCUGCUUUUGUGGGGUGCUCGAGUGGCGAACGGGUGAGUAACACGUGAGUAACCUGCCCUUGACUUUGGGAUAACUUCAGGAAACUGGGGCUACUACCGGAUAGGAGCUCCUGCUGCAUGGUGGGGGUUGGAAAGUUUCGGCGGAUGGGGAUGGACUCGCGGCUUAUCAGCUUGUUGGUGGGGUAGUGGCUUACCAAGGCUUUGACGGGUAGCCGGCCUGAGAGGGUGACCGGCCACCUGGGGACUGAGAUACGGCCCAGACGCCUACGGGAGGCAGCGGUGGGGAAUAUUGCACAAUGGGCGGGAGCCUGAUGCAGCAGCGCCGCGUGCGGGAUGACGGCCUUCGGGUUGUAAACCGCUUUCGCCUGUGACGAAGCGUGAGUGACGGUAAUGGGUAAAGAAGCACCGGCUAACUACGUG
rnacentral:rRNA from 1 species